rnacentral:tRNA from 1 species
AGGGUAAUAGCUCAGUGGUAGAGCACAUGCUUAGCAUGCAUGAGGUCCUGGGUUCAAUCCCCACUACCUCCA